GACGAACGCUGGCGGCGUGCUUAACACAUGCAAGUCGAACGGAAAGGCCUGCUUUCCCUUGUGGAUUGCGGGUACUCGAGUGGCGAACGGGUGAGUAACACGUGAGUGAUCUGCCCCCAACUUGGGUAUAAGCCUGGGAAACUGGGUCUAAUUCCCGAUAGGACUGCAGGGUGGUGCCUGUGGUGGAAAACGAUUUUCUAGUGGUUGGGGAUGAGCUCGCGGCCUAUCAGCUUGUUGGUGGGGUAAUGGCCUACCAAGGCGGCGACGGGUAGCCGGCCUGGGAGGGUGGACGGCCACAUUGGGACUGAGAUACGGCCCAGACUCCUACGGGAGGCAGCAGUGGGGAAUAUUGCACAAUGGGCGGAAGCCUGAUGCAGCGACGCCGCGUGGAGGAUGACGGCCUUCGGGUUGUAAACUCCUUUCGACCGCGAGGAAGCCACCUGGUUGGAAGGGUGGUGACGGUAGUGGUAGAAGAAGCACCGGCUAACUACGUG
rnacentral:rRNA from 1 species